rnacentral:rRNA from 1 species
UACAGAGGUCUCAAGCGUUGUUCGGAUUCAUUGGGCGUAAAGGGUGCGUAGGUGGCGCUGUAAGUCGGGUGUGAAAUUUCGGAGCUUAACUCCGAAACUGCAUUCGAUACUGCGGUGCUUGAGGACUGGAGAGGAGACUGGAAUUCAUGGUGUAGCAGUGAAAUGCGUAGAGAUCAUGAGGAAGACCAGUGGCGAAGGCGGCUCACUGGACGACUGUUGACGCUGAGGUGCGAAAGCGUGGGGAGCAAACAGG